rnacentral:lncRNA from 1 species
UUUCUACAGUGACCGCAGAGCUCCAUGGAAAGGAAAUGAGAACAACCUUUUAAGGGUCCUGUUAUGGAGAAAGGCAGGAUAAAAAUAUUUUAAACCAAUGAAGAAUAAAUAAAAUCCUUGCACAGUGUAAAAAAUAAAUUUUAGAAGCUUAUGCUCAGAAGGAAUUGGGCCAGAUCAUGAACUACGUAUGCAAGGAAUAUAGACCUACAAGUAGUUGGUUUUCUGAACCUUAAGAAAGAGAAAAGGAUCAUUCAUGGGAAAAGGUGGAAGGUCUUGUUUACACAAACAGAUGAUAAAUGUGUAAAAAUAAAUGACCCUGUAAGAAUGCAUUCCUCCUAUUUUCAUGAAAAAAUCUACAUCAUUAGCAAUUCCUUGUCU